CCUACGGGAGGCUGCAGUGGGGAAUAUUGGACAAUGGGGGGAACCCUGAUCCAGCGACGCCGCGUGAGUGAAGAAGUAUUUCGGUAUGUAAAGCUCUAUCAGCAGGGAAGAAAGAAAUGACGGUACCUGACUAAGAAGCCCCGGCUAACUACGUGCCAGCAGCCGCGGUAAUACGUAGGGGGCAAGCGUUCUCCGGAUUUACUGGGUGUAAAGGGGGCGUAGACGGCGAUGCAAGUCUGAAGUGAAAGGCGGGGGCCCAACCCCCGGACUGCUUUGGAAACUGUAUGGCUUGAGUGCAGGAGAGGUAAGUGGAAUUCCUAGUGUAGCGGUGAAAUGCGUAGAUAUUAGGAGGAACACCAGUGGCGAAGGCGGCUUACUGGACUGUAACUGACGUUGAGGCUCGAAAGCGUGGGGAGCAAACAGGAUUAGAUACCCUUGUAGUC
rnacentral:rRNA from 1 species